rnacentral:rRNA from 1 species
GACGAACGCUGGCGGCGUGCCUAAUACAUGCGAGUCGAACGAAGCUGUUUUAACUGGUGCUUGCACCGACUUAAACAACUGAGUGGCGAACGGGUGAGUAACACGUGGGUAACCUGUCCCAAAGCGGGGGAUAACAUUUGGAAACAGAUGCUAAUACCGCAUAACCACAGAAACCACAUGGUUUCUGUGUCAAAGAUGGUUUCGGCUAUCACUUUGGGAUGGACCCGCGGCGUAUUAGCUAGUUGGUAAGGUAAUGGCUUACCAAGGCAAUGAUACGUAGCCGAACUGAGAGGUUGAUCGGCCACAUUGGGACUGAGACACGGCCCAAACUCCUACGGGAGGCAGCAGUAGGGAAUCUUCCACAAUGGACGAAAGUCUGAUGGAGCAACGCCGCGUGAGUGAAGAAGGUUUUCGGAUCGUAAAACUCUGUUGUCAGAGAAGAACGUGUGCGAGAGUAACUGCUCGUGCAGUGACGGUAUCUGGCCAGAAAGCCACGGCUAACUACGUGCCAGCAGCCGCCGUAAUAC